rnacentral:rRNA from 1 species
CCUACGGGACGCAGCAGUAGGGAAUCUUCCACAAUGGGCGAAAGCCUGAUGGAGCAACGCCGCGUGGGUGAAGAAGGUCUUCGGAUCGUAAAACCCUGUUGUUAGAGAAGAAAGUGCGUGAGAGUAACUGUUCACGUUUCGACGGUAUCUAACCAGAAAGCCACGGCUAACUACGUGCCAGCAGCCGCGGUAAUACGUAGGUGGCAAGCGUUAUCCGGAUUUACUGGGUGUAAAGGGUGCGUAGGCGGGGAAGCAAGUCAGAAGUGAAAUCCAUGGGCUUAACCCAUGAACUGCUUUUGAAACCG